UUCUUUUUAUCCCGUCCCCUCCCUGUUGUACACACCGCCCGUCGCUACUACCGAUUGAAUGGCUCGGUGAGGCUUUCGGACUGGCCCAGGGAGGUCGGCAACGACCACCCAGGGCCGGAAAGUUGGUCAAACCCGGUCAUUUAGAGGAAGUAAAAGUCGUAACAAGGUCUCCGUAGGUGAACCUGCGGAGGGAUCAUUACAAGUGACCCCGGUCUAACCACCGGGAUGUUCAUAACCCUUUGUUGUCCGACUCUGUUGCCUCCGGGGCGACCCUGCCUUCGGGCGGGGGCUCCGGGUGGACACUUCAAACUCUUGCGUAACUUUGCAGUCUGAGUAAACUUAAUUAAUAAAUUAAAACUUUUAACAACGGAUCUCUUGGUUCUGGCAUCGAUGAAGAACGCAGCGAAAUGCGAUAAGUAAUGUGAAUUGCAGAAUUCAGUGAAUCAUCGAAUCUUUGAACGCACAUUGCGCCCCCUGGUAUUCCGGGGGGCAUGCCUGUUCGAGCGUCAUUUCACCACUCAAGCCUCGCUUGGUAUUGGGCAACGCGGUCCGCCGCGUGCCUCAAAUCGACCGGCUGGGUCUUCUGUCCCCUAAGCGUUGUGGAAACUAUUCGCUAAAGGGUGUUCGGGAGGCUACGCCGUAAAACAACCCCAUUUCUAAGGUUGACCUCGGAUCAGGUAGGGAUACCCGCUGAACUUAAGCAUAUCAAUAAGCGGAGGAAAAGAAACCAACAGGGAUUGCUCUAGUAACGGCGAGUGAAGCAGCAAUAGCUCAAAUUUGAAAUCUGGCGUCUUCGACGUCCGAGUUGUAAUUUGUAGAGGAUGCUUCUGAGUAACCACCGACCUAAGUUCCUUGGAACAGGACGUCAUAGAGGGUGAGAAUCCCGUAUGCGGUGGAAAGUCUCACGCAGAUGCCAGGC
rnacentral:rRNA from 1 species